CAGUUACACAGUUUGACAGUUAGACAGUUAGACAGUUAGAGCAUUGGGCCAAUAACCAAAAGGUCACUAGUUCAAAUCUUCAAGCAGACAAGGUGAAAAAUCUGUUGGUGUGUCUCUCUCUCUCUCCCUCCCUCUCUCUCCUUCUCUCUCUCCCUUUCUCUAUCUCCCUUUCUCAUCUCCCUUUCCCUCUCUCUCCCUCCCCAUCCCUUUCUCACUCUCCCUUUCUCCCUCCCACUCUCCCUUCCUCUCCCUCCCUCUCCCUCUCCCUCCCUCUCUCUGACUCCAGGUGGGUUUCAUAGACUACAUAGUCCACCCUCUGUGGGAGACGUGGGGUGACCUGGUCCACCCUGAUGCUCAGGACCUGCUGGACACGUUGGAGGAGAACAGAGACUGGUACCAGUCCACCAUGCCUCAGAGCCCCUCUCCUCCCUACGACAAACACCUGCUCACAGACCGCUUCCAGUUUGAGCUGGCACUGGAAGAUGUGGAGCCCAACCACAACCACAUACAACAACUCAACGGGUCCAACCACAUGGUCAGACAGGAGAACGGAAACCAGGACAAUUCAAAGGAGGACCAUGUUGAAGAGGUGGAGGAGAACCAUGUUGAAGAGGAGAUAGAGGACCAUGUCGAGGAGGAGGAGGAGGAGAACCAUCUUGAAGAGGAGAACCAUGUUGAAGAGGUGGAGGAGAACCAUGUUGAGGAGGAGAAUCAUGUUGAAGAGGUGGAGGGGAACCGUGUUGAAGAGGAGGAGGACCAUGUUGAAGAGGAGGAGGAGGAGAACCAUGUUGAAGUGGAGGAGGAGAACCAUGUUGAGGAGGAGAAUCAUGUUGAAGAGGAGAUAGAGGACCAUGUUGAAGAGGAGGAGGACCAUGUUGAAGAGGAGGAGGAAGAAGACCAUGUUGAAGGGGAGGAGGACGACCAUGUUGAAGAGGAGGAGGAGGACCAUGUUGAAGAGGAGGAGGAGGACCAUGUUGAAGAGGCGGAGGAGAACAAUGUUGAAGAGGAGGAGGACCAUGUUGAAGAGGCGGAGCAGAACCAUGUUGAAGAGGAGGCAGAAGAAGAUAGAGGAGAGGAGGAUGUCAAAGAUAAUGGGGAUGUGGAGAACCAAAAUGGAGAACAAGACUGUGUUGGGGAAGAGCAGAAGGAAGGAGAAGAAGAGGAGGAGGAGGAAGAAGGAGAGGAACAGGAGGAGGAAGAAAGAGAGGAACAGGAGAAAGAAGGAGAGGAGGUGGAGAAAGAAGAGGAGGAGGAUGAGGAGAAAGAAGGAGAGGAGGUGGAGAAAGAAGAGGAGGAGG
ensembl:lncRNA